rnacentral:rRNA from 1 species
AGCAGCCGCGGUAAUUCCAGCUCCAAUAGCGUAUAUUAAAGUUGUUGCAGUUAAAAAGCUCGUAGUUGAACUUCGGGGUUUACCCAUUGGUCAGGCUUAAUUGUCUGUACUGGUGAGAUAAAUCUCUACCUUCUGAGGAACUUUCAUGUCAUUAAUUUGGUGUGAUUGGAAAUCAGGACUGUUACUUUGAAAAAUUAGAGUGUUUAAAGCAGGCUAACGUCUGAAUACAUUAGCAUGGAAUAAUGAAAUAGGACGGCUUGAUUCUAUUUCGUUGGUUUCUAGGAUCACCGUAAUGAUUAAUAGGGAUAGUUGGGGGCAUUAGUAUUCAAUUGUCAGAGGUGAAAUUCUUGGAUUUAUUGAAGACUAACUACUGCGAAAGCAUUUGCCAAGGAUGUUUUCAUUAAUCAAGAACGAAAGUUAGGGGAUCGAAGACGAUCAGAUACCGUCGUAGUCUUAACCAUAAACUAUGCCGACUAGGGAUCGGACGAAGUUAAUUUUAUAAUGACGCGUUCGGCACCUU